GAGCAAGACUCUGUCUCAAAAAAGAAAAGAAAAGCUUAUUUUGCUAUUUAAAGUGACUGGGUGACUUCGUAACACCUGAGAGGGAUCAGAAAAGUCAAGGGACCGCCUGUGUUUUUAUUGAGAGGCAAGGAAAGAAUAUAUUCAAAGGAACACUGGGAGAUAAAAGAUAUGUGUCUUCUGAGUCCCAGGUGGUCACUGUUCUUAUACUAGCAAAGUCUUCUGAUUUUCAGACAGAGAAACUAGAUCUGUUCGUAAAUUACUACUGGUUCAUGGCUUCUUUUGGAGUGAGAGAGGCUACGGGAUGCUCCCCUGCAGUGCUUUGGGAUCCAAUGACAGCAUUUGGUUUUGAUUUGCUUCUUCAAAUUGCAUCGAAGGUCAACGGGGUUCCCUGAGUAGUAGGAACCUGUCUCGGUAGAGCUAUUUAGAAGCCAGCCAGUCUCAGGGCGGCUGCUGUGUCGUCUGGCUGGGUGUUUAUUUGCAUAUCUUAAAUACCAAGUGUUGUGUUUGACCCCUGCUAUGCACACAAUCAACGUAGCUAUUUAUGUGGCCUCUUCAGAGGCAGGGAGAACAGCAAGUGGAGGAGACCAGGCAUGAUGUGGGAAGCAGAUGAAUCCCAGGAGACCACAUAUCCCCAAAGACAUACCAGCUGCAGUGGAAAAGAUUCCUUCAACUUCAGGAUUCCUGAUCAUCUGCAUCAACCAACUUGUGGAGAAAACUGAGGCCCAGGAAGGUGACUCACAAUCGUGUAGAAAUACAGGUCAACCUUCCUCAAAGGUGACAGUCUGACAACAGCAUAGGUUCAACAAGGACACAACAAGAUGCAGGCUGGUGCCAUUGGAAGCUUGGCUUACUCAGACCAGGUUCAGGAUGAUCUUCCCAGGACCUUGUGGGAACCGAGGGACCUGGCCUCCCAGAUCCAGUGACCAAGAGAAAAAUUAACCCUCUUCACAAAGAGACCCUGUUUGCUUUUUGAGGCCAUUCGCCUCUUGUGUUCAGUAAAAGUGACUGUAACGACAUUUGCUAUGUCAAGGGCAAUGGCGCUUUUCUCCUGGGGAACGAGAAACUCUGACAAGUAAACUUAUUCAAGAUGGAGAAAAUUAGAUGA